rnacentral:rRNA from 1 species
GACGAACGCUGGCGGCGCGCUUAACACAUGCAAGUCGAACGGAAAGGCCUGCUUUCCCUUGUGGAUUGCGGGUACUCGAGUGGCGAACGGGUGAGUAACACGUGAGUGAUCUGCCCCCAACUUGGGUAUAAGCCUGGGAAACUGGGUCUAAUUCCCGAUAGGACUGCAGGGUGGUGCCUGUGGUGGAAAACGAUUUUCUAGUGGUUGGGGAUGAGCUCGCGGCCUAUCAGCUUGUUGGUGGGGUAAUGGCCUACCAAGGCGGCGACGGGUAGCCGGCCUGGGAGGGUGGACGGACACAUUGGGACUGAGAUACGGCCCAGACUCCUACGGGAGGCAGCAGUGGGGAAUAUUGCACAAUGGGCGGAAGCCUGAUGCAGCGACGCCGCGUGGGGGAUGACGGCCUUCGGGUUGUAAACUCCUUUCGACCGCGAGGAAGCCACCUGGUUGGAAGGGUGGUGACGGUAGUGGUAGAAGAAGCACCGGCUAACUACGUG